rnacentral:rRNA from 1 species
UACGGGGGGGGCAAGCGUUGUUCGGAAUUACUGGGCGUAAAGGGCUCGUAGGCGGCCAACUAAGUCAGACGUGAAGUCCCUCGGCUUAACCGGGGAACUGCAUCUGAUACUGGAUGGCUUGAGUUCGGGAGAGGGAUGCGGAAUUCCAGGUGUAGCGGUGAAAUGCGUAGAUAUCUGGAGGAACACCGGUGGCGAAGGCGGCAUCCUGGACCGACACUGACGCUGAGGAGCGAAAGCCAGGGGAGCAAACGGG